AAGGAUUUAAGUUAAACUAUAAACUGUUGGCCUUCAAAGCUAAAAAUAGGGAAUGUUCCUAAGCCUUA
rnacentral:tRNA from 1 species